CAGGGGAACAGUGACUACUACUGCUUUAAUCUUUUGCAGAAGUCCUAGGAAGGGGCAAAUCUCCCAGAAGACAGCUCUGGCUCCAAAGAUGGACGAAAUGAAGUGUCCAGAACCAGACUUCAGGAUCCAACCCCAAAUCCUCCCCUUGCACAGAGCCCGAUGCGACCCAUGAACUGCGAGAUCAUGAUCUGAGCCGAAGUCAGACGCUUAACUUACUGAGCUACCCAGGCACCCUGAGAACCUUCCUUCUUCUGGGGCUCCUCUUAGCUCCAGCCUUGGUUCCCUCCCAUACAGAGGGAUGGUAAAAGGCUCAUUCAAUGGUAAAAGGCUCUUAGGAAUGACUGUGGGCUCUCUGUCCCCAAGGGCCAUAAGAAUAAGGUGACCAGAAGAACAGAUGAGCUGCCCUGCUCCAGACCCUUCCCCUCUAGGGCAGAGAACUUAGCCUGAGCUGCCCCGUCAUCUGGAGCCCAGAACUUGGCCUGUGACUUCAGAACGCAGCCCCGAUUUCUGAGCACAGAACACUUCAUAAUAAACAGCAGGGAAAGUGAAGCCGAGAUGAGCCUACAACAUCUCAGAAUUGUUUCCAAAUAAAGUGUUAUUUUUUUCCUCUCAA